GACCUUAACCUGCUAAAUAGGAUCAGGAACUUCGUGUUCUUGUAUCACUUCUUAGAGGGACUUUGCGUGUCUAACGCAAGGAAGUUUGAGGCAAUAACAGGUCUGUGAUGCCCUUAGAUGUUCUGGGCUGCACGCGCGCUACACUGAUGCAUCCAACGAGUUUAUAACCUUGGCCGAUAGGUCUAGGUAAUCUUGUGAGCAUGCAUCGUGAUGGGGAUAGAUUAUUGCAAUUAUUAAUCUUCAACGAGGAAUGCCUAGUAGGCGCAAGUCAGCAGCUUGCGCCGAUUACGUCCCUGCCCUUUGUACACACCGCCCGUCGCUCCUACCGAUUGAGUGUUCCGGUGAAUUAUUCGGACCGUUUUGUGGCGCGUUCGUGCCCGAAAUGGGAAGUUUUGUGAACCUUAACACUUAGAGGAAGGAGAAGUCGUAACAAGGU